UCGCCUGCUAUAAAAUAAUUGCUUAUUAAAAAUGGAUAUCUGAGCCGAAUACCAAACUCCACGGUCUGGCUGCGGCGAAUAUGUGGUAGUAGAAUCCCUGAACAGCAGCCGCUUCGAAAUGUAUUUACCUCAAUAAAGCCUUUUCAAUACGACCCAGUCUUUCCACCGGCGAGUAAGGAAUUAGUUGCACUGGCGGCCGCUCGUUUAGGCUCCCUAUUCUGCCGGAGACCGCUCGCAAAUGACGAGGGGGCAUUUUAUAGACAUUUUGAGAUGUGGGUAUGCGGAAUAAUUACAUUUGACAUCGGAACAGCGGCUCCACAAUCCGGCUAUUGGCUUGAAAUUCCAUUAAAUACAACGAGAGAUCCUAGGUUAAGAUUGAUUUAAAUUAGCAUACAUUUUCAUAUGUUUAUGGGGAAAAUAAAGAGACGGCGAGAGCAGCUGGGAGUCAUUUCCAGCCGCACUUGCACCAAAUUCAGUUGCGAGGAUGGCAUUUCGAGGGAUCUCUAGCGGGCCGGCGAAGAGCGAAACUCGUAGCAUUAACGAGCCCUCUCUCCCUCGACCGCGGAAUGGUUCAACGUUGAUGAGGCAGACGGUGGCUGGUGUACCGUCGCCAUUCCGGGCUGAUGAGCGUCAGGAGAAGGCUAAUGUCCCGGCAAGACUACCGUGAUGCUGCCUGAGUCGCGGAGUAUUUCCAAUAUUUCAAUAACUUCAAAUUGCUGAGCGUGCAUCUAUCCGAAGAUCUUUCCUGGACCCAGCACACCGAUGCAAUCAUAAAGAAGGCACAUCAGUGACUCUACUUCCUGAGAAGAUUACGGAGAUUCGGCAUGUCGAAGAGGAUUCUCCUAAACCUCUACAGAUGCAUGUUAGAGAGCAUUCUGACCGGCUGCAUCGUGGCCUGGUUCGGCAACUUGAACGUCCAGGAGCAGAAAAGACUACAAAAAGUUGUGACCACUGCCCAGUCCAUCACCAGCUUUGACCUCCCCACCGUCGAAGGGAUCUAUCACAGUCGCUGCCUCAAAAAGGCAGCAAACAUCAUCAAGGACCCACACCAUCCUGGCCACAUACUUAUCCCACCACUGCCAUCAGGAAGAAGGCACAGGAGCCUGAAGACUAUAAUGUCCAGGUUCAGGAACAGCUUCUUUCCCACAGCCAUCAGGUUAUUAAACACGUCAAUGAAUAAGCUCUGAGCUCUGAACUGCAAAAGACCAUAUUAUUAUUUGUUAUUUGCAUUAUAUUUGUUAUUUAUUGAACUUUUUCUUUUUUUUCCCCGUUAUAUACAAUGUUUAUAUAUUCACAUAUUCUGUUGUGCUGCAGCAAGUAGGAAUUUCAUUGUCUCGUCCGGGACAUAUGACAAUAAAACACACUUGACUUGACUCUUGACUAUUCCUUUUACCUAUAUUAGAUGUCCAGCAGCUCUUUGAUUUUCAAGUAAGAGUGUAGUUCCGAUCUUCCAACCUACCUCAUCGCACUUUUUUUUAAAUUUGCAGUUUCUCGGGAAUUGUAACCCCAUAACUCUGUAACACUAGACUCUGGUCCCUGGUUAUUUUUUCCUUUGCAUUACCUGGUGUACAAACGCAUGGGUUUAUUGUACGCAAUGAUAUGACUAGUUAGCACUUAUACAAAGUUUUCACUGUAUAUUGGAGUAUGUACAGCAAUCAAAAUAACCCUGGCUGGUUUGUUAUUUCAUGAACCUAGAUUCACCACCUUGUUAGUUUAGUUUAGUGUAUAGAUACAGCACGGAAACAGGCCCUUUGGCCCACCGAGUCCGCACGGGCCAGUGAUCCCUGCACACUAACACUAUCUCACACACCCUGGGGACAAUUUACACAUACAACAAGUCUAACAACCUACAAACUUGUUUGUGUUGUGGAGUGUGGGAGGAAUCCGAAGAUCUCGGAGAAAAACCCAUGCAGUUCGCGGAGAGAACGUGCAAACUCCUCACAGACAGUACCCAGGAACGAAGGAGAUUACAAAAAGCGGUGAACACUGCCCGGUCCAUCAUGGGUACUGACUUCCCCACCAUCAAAGGGAUCGACAUGAGUCGCUGCCUCAAAAAGGCAGCCAGCAUCAUCAGAGACCCUCACCACCCUGGCCACGAUCUAAUUUCACCCCUGCCAUCGGGAAGAAGGUACAGGAGCCGGAAAACCAGGUACAGGAACAACUUCUUCCCAUCAGGCUGUGGAACACUGCAAACGCUAAAUGAUGAGCUAUGGACUGUGUUGGUUCCACUAAGGACUUUUGCAAUAAUAUUGGGUUUUUUAAUGAGUUUGAUAUAUUUUGUUUAUGAUGUUAUCUAUGAGUCCUGUGUUUACUGGAAGUACGUAUUUAAUCCGCAAGUACGUGCUGCUGGGGUUAUGGAGUUAUGAGGUUACAGUUCCCGAGAAACUGCAGAUUGUAAAAAAAAGUGCGAUGAGGUAGGUUGGAAGAUCGGAACUACACUCUUACUUGAAAAUCAAAGAGCUGCUGGAUUUAAUCGAUCAGUUUUUGUUACAUAUGACAAUUAAACAUUCUUGAAGUACGUUUCAACGUGGCCCUGCUUCUAAGCUUGAGUGAACACAGGGCUAGAUGCCGUUAAUCCUUCUCAAGAGUGGUCUGAAGAGGGCCCUGACCUGAAUUGUCACCAGUCCAUUCUCUCCAGAGAGGUGGCAUGGUGGCGCAGCGGAAGAGUUGCUGCCUCACAGCGCCAGAGAUCAGGGUUCGAUCCCGACUACGGGUGCUGUCUGUACAGAGUUUGUAUGUUCCCCCCGUGACCUGCGUGGGUUUUCUCCGAGAUCUUCGGUUCCAUCCCAUGUUUCAAAGACGUACAGGUUUGUAAGUUAACUGGCUUGGUAUAAAUGUAAAUUGUCCCUAUUGUGUGCAGGAUAGUGUGCAGGGAUCGCUGGUCGGCGCGGACUCGGUGGGCCGAAGGGCCUGUUUCCGCGCUGUUUCCCUAAACUAAACUAAGAUGCUGCCAGACCCGCUGAGUUACUCCAGCAGUAUGUGUCCAUCUUCUGUUUGAACCAGCAUCUGCAGUUCCUUCCUCCACACAAGGCCCUGCUGAAGUCUGGUGAACCUUAGCUGCACUUCCUCAAUGGAAAGUAUGAACAUUUAGAGGCUGUGAAUGAAAGGUUAAAUCCCAAUAUCACACCCCAUAAAAGGAGCAAUUUUCCUAAGCGCCCCCAUUAGAUUCAUGGAACGCCUGGUAGCAGAUCUGGUCUUUGUUAGGAGACAGCGCAGAAACGGAGAUCUCGGCUUAUAUAUGGUAAACUGCUAAUUUGACUGUGGGAAGGAUAUUAAAACAAAAGUUAAUUUUAGUUACUUGGAAGGCAGCCAAAGCAACAGUAUUACCUUGACCUGCCGAUUAUUGGAUGGUCUGUGUAGACUGAACCGUUGCCCUAAUUACUGCCAAGGUGAUUGAGAUUGACCAGUUGUCACCCAACAUCUCGUUUGUGUCUCAUUGGGAUUAUCGGAGCAGCAUGAAGGAACCGUUGGCUCCCACACGCAUCACGCCCAGAGUCGGGGAAUCUGGGGACCAGAGGACAUGGGUUUAAGGUGAACGGGAAAUGAUUCAAUUGGAAUCUGAGGAUUGGUAGCUUUUUAACACAGAGGGUGGUGGGUGUAUGGAACAAGCUGCCAGAGGAGGUAGUUGAGGCAGGGACUAUCCCAACGUUUGGGUUGCACGGUGGCGCAGCGGUAGAGUUGCUGCCUUACAGCGCUUGCAGCACCGGAGACCCGGGUUCGAUCCCGACUACGGGCGCUGUCUGUGCGGAGUUUGUACGUUCUCCCGUGUGACCUGCGUGGGUUUUCUCCGAGAUCUUCAGUUUCCUCCCACACUACAUAGAAGUGCAGGUAUGUAGGUUAAUUGGCUUGGUAUAAAUAUAAAUUGUCCCCCGUGUGAUUAGGGUGGUGUUAAUGUGCGGGGAUCGCUGGUUGGUAUGGACACGGUGGGCCGAAGGGCCUGUUUCUGCGCUGUAUCUCUAAGCUAAACAAAACGUUUAAGAACCGUUAGACAGGCACAUGGAUAGGACAGGUUUGACAAUAGACAAUAGACAAUAGGUGCAGGAGUAGGCUAUUCAGCCCUUCGAGCCAGCGCCGCCAUUCAAUGUGAUCAUGGCUGAUCAUCCCCAAUCAGUACCCCGUUCCUGCCUUCUCCCCAUAUCCCCUGACUACGCUAUUUUUAAGAGCCCUAUCUAGCUCUCUCUUGAAAGCAUCCAGAGAACCGGCCUCCACCGUCCUCUGAGGCAGAAAAUUCCACAGACUCACAACUCUCUGUGAAAAAGUGUUUCCUCGUCUCCAUUCUAAAUGGCUUACCCCUUAUUCAUAAACUGUGGCCCCUGGUUCUGGACUCCCCCAACAUCGGGAACAUGUUUCCUGCCUCUAGCAUGUCCAAACCCUUUAUAAUCUUAUAUUAGGGGGAGAUAUGGACCAAAUGGAGGUAGGUGGGACUAGUGUAGCUGGGACGUGGUGGCCAGCAUGGGAAGAUGGGCUGAAGGGCCUGUUUCCCCGCUGUAUCACUCUAUGACUCUCCGAAAUCAUUGCCAUGGAGACUGUUUUCUUCCAGGGUUUCUGACAGCCAUGUAAUAGGAUUACAGUUUAACUUCAAUGACUAAUAUAUUUGCGUUUGAGUUUAGUUUAUUGUCACGUGUACAGUGAAAAGGUUUUUGUCGUGUGUCAACUGUUCAGGUUGUUUACUUGUUAUGUGGAAAAGUUCGCUUCCAAGAUGGCGUCCAGCCCAGGCGACUACCAGCGCGCUGGCCGCAGAAACAGGUCUACAAUCACAUAUUACAAUCGCCCCACACAUUUAAAUAUUCCCUUAUCACACAUCUGUACACAAAUCUGCUGGGGAAACUCAGCGGGUGAGGCAGCAUCUACGGAGCGAAGGAAUGGGUGACGUUUCGGGUCGAGACACUUCUUGCGUGGACCCUUUCCACAGCCACCCAUGCAUCUGUACACUGUCAAUGGCUCGAUUGUAAUCGCGUAUCAUCUUUCCGCUGACUGGUUACAUAGAAACAUAGGAACAUAGAAAAAUAGGUGCAAGAGUAGGCCAUUCGGCCUUUCAAGCCUGCACCGCCAUUUAAUAUGAUCAUGGCUGAUCAUCCAACUCAGUAUCCCGUCCCUGCCUUCUCUCCAUACCCCCCUGAUCCCUUUAGCCACAAGGGCCACAUCUAACUCCCUCUUAAAUAUAGCCAAUGAACUGGCCUCAACUACAUUCUGUGGCAGAGAAUUCCAGAGAUUCACCACUCUCUGUGUGAAAAAUGGGGUUAUGGAGUUUUCUCAUCUCGGUCCUAAAAGAUUUCCCCUUUUUCUUUAAACUGUGACCCCUUGUUCUGGACUUCCCCAACAUCGGGAACAAUCUUCCUGCAUCUAGCCUGUCCAACCCCUUAAGAAUUUUGUACAUUUCUAUAAGAUCCCCCUUCAAUCUUCUAAAUUCUAGCGAGUACAAGCCGAGUCUAUCCAGUCUUUCUUCAUGUGAAAGUCCUGACAUCCCAGGAAUCAGUCUGGUGAACCUUCUCUGUACUCCCUCGAUGGCAAGAAUGUCCUUCCUCAGAUUAGUGGUUAGCACGCAACAAAAAAGCUUUUCACUGUACCUUGGUACACGUGACAAUAAACUAAACUGUUUAUUAUUGUUGAUAUUAUUAUCAUUGAACUAACCAGUCAGCAGAAAUUGGCCUGAAUUUGAUAAUUACUUUCUGCAUAUCUUCCAUUCAUUUGUCCUAAGCACCAUAUACAUCUCCCAAUGCCGUGUACUCUGACUCUCGGUCUGAAGUAGGGGCCCAACCAGAAACGUUGCCUAUUCUCCAGAGAUGCUGCCUGACUCGCUGAGUUACUCCAGCUCUUUGUGUCCAUCAGCGGAAAGACAAUACAUGAUUACAAUCGAGCCGUCCACAGAUACAUGAUAAAGGGAAUAACGUUUAGUGCAAGAUAAAGCCCAGUAGGUCUGAUCAAAGAUAGUCCAAGGGUCUCCGAUGGGGUAGAUAGUAGCUCAGGACUGUUCUCUAGUUGGUUCAGCUACGUGAUAUACUGUACCUGAUACUGUGGCCGUUAAAGCCCUGUCCCACUGUACGAGUUCAUUCCAAGAGCUCUCCCCGAGUUUGCCCUGAUUCGAACUCGGAGAUUUACGGUAAUGGCCGCUCGUCGGUACUCGGGGCUCUCGUGGACAUUUUUCAACAUGUUGAAAAAUCCUCACGAGUCUUCCCGAGCUUACCUGCCGUUAGCGAGUCUUCCC